CCUACGGGAGGCAGCAGUGAGGAAUAUUGGUCAAUGGACGAGAGUCUGAACCAGCCAAGUAGCGUGAAGGAUGACUGCCCUAUGGGUUGUAAACUUCUUUUAUAUGGGAAUAAAAUGUUCCACGUGUGGGAUUUUGUAUGUACCAUAUGAAUAAGGAUCGGCUAACUCCGUGCCAGCAGCCGCGGUAAUACGGAGGAUCCGAGCGUUAUCCGGAUUUAUUGGGUUUAAAGGGAGCGUAGGUGGAUUGUUAAGUCAGUUGUGAAAGUUUUGGGCUCAACCGUAGAAUUGCAGUUGAAACUGGCAGACUUGAGUAAAGUAGGGGUAGGCGGAAUUCGUGGUGUAGCGGUGAAAUGCUUAGAUAUCACGAAGAACUCCGGUUGCGAAGGCAGUUCACUGGACUUCAACUGACACUGAGGCACGAAAGUGUGGGUAUCGAACAGGAUUAGAUACCCGAGUAGUC
rnacentral:rRNA from 1 species